rnacentral:rRNA from 1 species
GACGAACGCUGGCGGCGUGCUUAACACAUGCAAGUCGAACGGAAAGGCCCUGCCUUUGUGGGGUGCUCGAGUGGCGAACGGGUGAGUAACACGUGAGUAACCUGCCCUUGACUUUGGGAUAACUUCAGGAAACUGGGGCUAAUCCCGGAUAGGAGCUCUUGCUGCAUGGUGGGGGUUGGAUAGUUUCGGCGGUUGGGGAUGGACUCGCGGCUUAUCAGCUUGUUGGUGGGGUAGUGGCUGACCAAGGCUUUGACCCGUAGCCGAGCUGAGAGGGUGACCGGCCACAUUGGGACUGGAAUGCGGCCCAGACUCCUACGGGAGGCAGCAGUGGAGAAUAUUGCACAAUGGGCGGAAGCCUGAUGCAGCAACGCCGCGUGCGGGAUGACGGCCUUCGGGUUGUAAACCGCUUUCGCCUGUGACGAGGCGUGAGUGACGGUAAUGGGUAAAGAAGCACCGGCUAACUACGUG